GAUCAUGCUCAGGAUGAACGCUGGCGGCGUGCCUAACACAUGCAAGUCGGAGCGAAGCAUUUUAAAGGAAGUUUUCGGAUGGAAUUUGGAAUGACUGAGCGGCGGACGGGUGAAGUAACGCGUGGGUAACCUGCCUCAUACAGGGGGAUAACAGUUAGAAAUGACUGCUAAUACCGCAUAAGCACACAGUACCGCAUGGUACAGUGUGAAAAACUCCGGUAGGUAUGAGAUGGACCCGCG
rnacentral:rRNA from 1 species